rnacentral:rRNA from 1 species
GCCGGCGGCUAUAGCGACAGGGCCACACCCGUUCCCAUUCCGAACACGGAAGUUAAGACUGUCAGCGCCCAUGGUACUGCGAGGGCAACUUCGUGGGAGAGUAGGUCGUCGCCGGCG